rnacentral:rRNA from 1 species
UGGGGGAUAUUGCACAAUGGGCGAAAGCCUGAUGCAGCGACGCCGCGUGGGGGAUGAAGGCCUUCGGGUUGUAAACUUCUUUUGCUCUGAACAAGGCAUGCCUGUGGGGUGUGUUGAGUGUAGGGGUUGAUUAGCGCCGGCUAACUACGUGCCAGCAGCCGCGGUAAUACGUAGGGCGCGGGCGUUGUCCGGAAUUAUUGGGCGUAAAGGGCUUGUAGGUGGCUGGUUGCGUCUGUCGUGAAAGCCCAUGGCUUAACUGUGGGUUUGCGGUGGGUACGGGCUGGCUUGGGUGGAGUAGGGGAGGCUGGAAUUCCUGGUGUAGCGGUGGAAUGCGGAGAUAUCAGGAGGAAUACCGGUGGGGAAGGCGGGUCUCUGGGCUGUUACUGACGCUGAGGAGCGAAAGCGUGGGGAGCGAACAGG